UUGAACGCUGGCGGAAUGCUUUACACAUGCAAGUCGAGCGGCAGCGCGGGGCAACCUGGCGGCGAGCGGCGAACGGGUGAGUAACAUAUCGGAACGUACCCUAUCGUGGGGGAUAACACAUCGAAAGAUGUGCUAAUACCGCAUACGACCUGAGGGUGAAAGCGGGGGAUCGCAAGACCUCGCGCGACAGGAGCGGCCGAUAUCGGAUUAGCUAGUUGGUGAGGUAAAGGCUCACCAAGGCGACGAUCCGUAGCUGGUCUGAGAGGACGACCAGCCACACUGGAACUGAGACACGGUCCAGACUCCUACGGGAGGCAGCAGUGGGGAAUUUUGGACAAUGGGCGCAAGCCUGAUCCAGCAAUGCCGCGUGCAGGAUGAAGGCCUUCGGGUUGUAAACUGCUUUUGUACGGAACGAAAAGACUCCUUCUAAUAAAGGGGGUUCAUGACGGUACCGUAAGAAUAAGCACCGGCUAACUACGU
rnacentral:rRNA from 1 species